AGAGUUUGAUCCUGGCUCAGGAUGAACGCUGGCGGCGUGCCUAAUACAUGCAAGUCGGACGAGAUACCAAAUCGUAAGAUGAGGCUAUCUAGUGGCAAACGGGUGAGUAACACGUAGACGACCUGCCCUGGAGAAGGGGAUAACAGCUCGAAAGAGGUGCUAAUACCCUAUAUGCUUACGGAGGCUAGAGGCUCUGUGAGGAAAGGUGAAGACGCUCCGGGAGGGGUCUGCGGACCAUCAGCUAGCUGGUAGGGUAGCGGCCUACCAGGGCGAAGACGGAUAGGGGGCCUGAGAGGGUGGUCCCCCACACGGGCACUGAGAGACGGGCCCGACUCCUACGGGAGGCAGCAGUAAGGGAUAUUGCGCAAUGGGCGAAAGCCUGACGCAGCAACGCCGCGUGCCCGAAGAAGGCCUUCGGGUUGUAAAGGGCUUUUCUGGCUGAAGAGGAAGGACGGUAAGCCAGAAUAAUUCCCG
rnacentral:rRNA from 1 species